AGGUGGUGCAUGGUUGUCGUCAGCUCGUGUCGUGAGAUGUUGGGUUAAGUCCCGCAACGAGCGCAACCCCUAUCUUUAGUAGCCAGCAUAUAAGGUGGGCACUCUAGAGAGACUGCCAGGGAUAACCUGGAGGAAGGUGGGGACGACGUCAAAUCAUCAUGCCCCUUAUGGCCAGGGCUACACACGUGCUACAAUGGCGUAAACAAAGGGAAGCGAAGUCGUGAGGCGAAGCAAAUCCCAGAAAUAACGUCUCAGUUCGGGUUGUAGUCUGCAACUCGACUACAUGAAGCUGGAAUCGCUAGUAAUCGUGAAUCAGAAUGUCACGGUGAAUACGUUCCCGGGUCUUGUACACACCGCCCGUCACACCAUGGGAGUCAGUAACGCCCGAAGUCAGUGACCCAACCUUAUAGGAGGGAGCUGCCGAAGGUGGGACCGAUAACUGGGGUGAAGUCGUAACAAGGUAGCCGUAUCGGAAGGUGCGGCUGGAUCACCUC
rnacentral:rRNA from 1 species